UAAUACGGAGGGUGCAAGCGUUACUCGGAAUUACUGGGCGUAAAGGACGCGUAGGCGGUUUAGAAAGUCAGAUGUGAAAGCCUAUGGCUUAACCAUAGAACUGCAUUUGAAACUUCUUAACUAGAAUGAGGGAGAGGUCAGUGGAAUUAGUGGUGUAGGGGUAAAAUCCGUAGAGAUCACUAGGAAUACUCAUAGCGAAGGCGACUGACUGGAACUUUAUUGACGCUGAGGCGUGAAAGCGUGGGGAGCAAACAGGAUUAGAUACCCUGGUAGUCCACGCCCUAAACGAUGUACACUAGUUAUUGUGAUGCAAGUCAUUGCAGUAAUGCAGCUAACGCAUUAAGUGUACCGCCUGGGGAGUACGGUCGCAAGAUUA
rnacentral:rRNA from 1 species